UUAUAGUAUUUUAAAACUAAUAGCAGUAGAUCUAUAUUUGAUAGAAAUUUUUGACGUUGAAUUUGAUAAAAAGCAUCCUUUAAAUUGUUUUAUAUUUUGAUCAAAUUUUCAAGUGCAUGAUAAAACUAAUAGUUUCUGAAGUAAAUGAUAAUAUUCAAAAAGAUAUAAAAAUAACUUCUAUUAAAAUAAAAACUAAGGAGUAUAAAAGGAUUCAAAAGUUGAAUAGUGGGCAUAUAAUGAUGAUUUAUUUAAUUAAGAAUAUUGAUAAUGUUAUUCAACCGUUAUAAAAAUUUCGCUUGUCUAAUUGCAAUUUACAAUAUUAUUAUUAAUAUUUAAUAAAUUCACACCAAUCUCCUCUUAUUUAAAAUAAGAAAGCUAUCAAUGAAUUAAAAACCUAAGAAUACCCCAUAUCUUAUCUCUCGCACACGCCUUCUCUUCCUUGUAAGUUAAGUAUUUAUUACUCCAAUAUGUGAUUCCUUGUUUAAUCUAUCACCUGAUUCUAAAUAUAGUUAAGUAUCGAAUGGCUAGUCUCUCCAAGUCAAAGCCGCUUUAACUUGGGAAGCAUUUUAACAUUUCAUCUUUCAGGUCAUUAUGGUUCGAUGUUUGAUUUCAUUUUAAUAUUUCAUGGUAAACCCUAAUCUAAGUUUUGUAGAUUACCUAGCAGGUCACUAAACGUCCUAAUUGAACUCCUGCCGAUCAUUUAAGUCGUUGCCAGGCUUACUUUAAAGAGAAAAUGUUUUGUCGUUGACCUUUCGGACGAUGGCUAAUGACACAGGGUGUAGUUCUAAAUUUUCGAUUAUAAGAAAAAUAAUGGUUGAAAACCUUCAGGAAAUAGAAAUAGAGUAGAAUGAGAGUUUACAAUAAAUUUUCUUAUUCACUCAAUAAUGAUAAUGAAAAAGGAGUUUUUACGAACCUACCUUUGAUUAAUGUACGAUUGAAGAAGUUUAUGAUGUUGUUAUACCUAGAAAUUACCAAAAUCUCUUGGAAUUAUGUAAAUAUUUAUUAUGAAUAUGGGUUUUUCAGAAACGAAUGCAAAAUUUGAACCAAAUCUAGUAAAUAUUUAUUUGAUGAAUAAAAUGUACUAUAA
rnacentral:lncRNA from 1 species